ensembl:lncRNA
UUUUUUUUUUUUUUUUUUUUUUUAGCAGAACUCACUUCUUGGUACCAAUUUCUGCCUUAGUCUUUUUAUGCUACUAUAACAGAAUACCAUAGGUUAGGGUGGCUUAUAAACAACAGAAGUUUAUUUCUCACAGUCCUGGAGCUGGGAAAUCCAAGGUCAAGGUGCUGGCAGAUUUUGUGUCUGGUGAAGACCUGCUUCUGAGUCAUAGAUGACCAUCUUUUCACUGUGUCCUUAUGUGGCAUGAGGGUCAGGGGAGCUCUUCAGAGUCUCUUUUAUAAAUACACUAAUCAUCUCCCAAAGGCUCCACCUCCAAAUACCUUCACAAUAGGGAUUCGAUUUCAACAUGAAUUUUGGUAGGACACAAACACUGUCUGUCACUUUGGGGAUGAGAGAAGAGAAGCAAAGAAACAUCAGAAUCACCUGGACAGUUUGUCCAAACCACAUGUACUCCUUACCAUCCUAGAUUAACUCACUCCCUCCUUUUGGAACCACUGUCAAUGCUCAGCCUUGAAGAAAAGUGUUAAGGAAGCCUAUAUCAGUAGGUUGCUUUUGGUAGCAAAUGACAGAAAAUGUAAAUCAAAAUGGCUUAAAUAACGAAGGGAUUUAUAACCCUUGCAAGCCAAACAUUUACUGAGUAAGUUGGGUUUUUGGAGAUUCUUGAUCCAAAAUACAUCAGCAAGAAUUUUUGUCUCUCUGCUCUGCCUUUUGCAGCCAUUCAACCUAAAGAUGCAUCCCAUUGGAGUCUCAGGAUGGCUAGAGGCAACACCUAAGUUUCCUUUUUCUUCCUUCACUUCUAGAAAGAGAAAGAGAACUUGCUGCUUUCUCAGAAACAGCUCUAAUAUUCACUCUGAUUGGCCUAGAACAUGAUGCGUGCCUACCUCUGAACCAAUCAUUGUAUAGAGAUAUGGAGUGCGUUUAUUGGCUUAGUUUUUCUUAACUGCUCCACCCCUGAGAAAGUGAUGGCAGUUGGAAGGGAAAGUUGGAAGGUGGGAGAAGGAAUUGAUAUUGGCAGUGUAGCCAACUAAGGCUGUGGGAUGGUCUAUAAAGUUAAGUGCAAAUCAGUAAUAAAAAAUCAUGAGACUCAUUUCACCCAUUCUUAGCACCAGUCCUGUUAAUUUCUAAUAGGGCUUCUCAACUUUGGCACUAUGGACACUGGGCUAGGUUUUGCCCUUGCUCUGUGGGCUGUCCCAUGCAUUGUAGGAUGCCUAGCAGCAUCCCUGGCUUCUACCCACAAGAUGCCAGUAGUAACCUCAACCAUCACCACUCCCUCACAGAUGUGGCAACUAAAAAUGUCUCCAGACAUUGCCAAAUGUCCUCUAAGGGACAAAAUUUCUCUCUCCAAACCACUGUUUUAUAGUUGAAGCUCCUAGAUAAAAAUCUCUAUCAUAGAAGUAGAGAUCCAUUUUCAUCAAUUUCUCCAACGUUUAAGAAAAUAAUUUAAACUGUAGCGUGAAGAAGUGUUAGAUGUAAAGCAGAAUUUCCUAUCAUCACACAUGUGCAUACAUAUUAAAUUUAUCCAUAUAUUACUAUAUUAUUUACUGCAAUUCUUUUUAAAAAUGUUCUCACAUUUGAUGUGAAGCCUAAGAUGAAAGGUGUUACUAGAUCACUUUUCAGAAUUCCUCCUAAGCAUCAGUUGGUAAGAUUUCUCAGCCUCUUUCAGAGGAGAAGCAUUGCACUGAAUAUUUGUAAAUAUUAUUGAUAUUUGUAAAUAUUAUGAGUGUGGGUGCUUCUGGUACAUAGAUCACACUUUGAGUAGCAAAAGGCUAUAAUUUGGCAGAAUGCAGGAGGGGAAGUUUGAGCUCUGCUGUGCUCAACUUAGAUCCAUGUGUCUUCUCAUUCUGGAACCCACCUAAAGAGCAGAUACUGUCUGGAACUGGUCUCAUGGUGGAAGGCAAAAGGUCAAAGAGGGAAACAAAGCCAUAUCAAAGAUAUAAUGGGGAGUUCCUGUUGUGGCUCUGUGGAAGUGAAUCUGACUAGUAUCCAUGAGGACACAGGCUUGAUCCCUGGCCUCACUCAUUUGGUCAUGGAUUCAGCUUUGCCCUGAGCUGUGGUGUAGGUUGUAGAUGCAGCUCGGAUCCUGUGUUGCUGUGGCUGUGGUAUAGGCCAGCGCUACAGCUCUGAUUCGACCCCUAGCCUGGGAACCUCCGUAUGCCAUGGAUGCGGCCCUAAAAAGACAAAAAUUUUUUAAAAUGAAAAUACAAACACUGUGUGUGCGAUGAUCGCCCAUCAUGUUUAAAAUCAGAAAUCUUUAAAGUGUCUUUAAAGCAAGUUACAUGACCCAGCCCAAAGUCAUUGGUGUAGGGGAAUUCCUACAUGUUAGAAAACACAUAGUGGUAAGUGUUGCAGAGCAUGCACAGGUGGCCCAAAGUACUCUCUACGUGGGAGAGUCAAGGAAGGCCUCAGAGAGAAUAUGAUGGUUAAACCAGAUUUUGAAGGAUAAGUAAAAGUUCUUAGCAAACUGGGAAUGGAGACCAAGGCGGGAGAGAGGGCACUGAAGCCAAGGGAAGAACAUAAAGCAGAGAGCUACGUGUUCUUCAAGAGGAUCUCUAUAAUCACAGGGGAAGAUGUUCAACAUCAUUAAUCAUACAGGAAAUGCAAAUCAAAACCACAAUGAGAUUUUACUUUAUCCCCACUAGGCUGUCUCUAAUCAAAAAGAACAGAGAAUAAGAAGAGCUAGUAAGAUUAUGGAGAAAUUGGAACCUUUUCUCACUGUUGGUGGGAAUGUAAGAUGGUGUAGCUACUUUGGAAAACAGCCUGCUCCUUCCUCACAAGGUUAAACAUGGAGUUACCUUAUGAUCCAGGAAUUGCACUGCAACGUAAAUACAGGCAUACCUUGCUUUAUCGUGCUUCACAGACAGUGCAUUUUUUCCAAAUUUAAGGUUUGUGGCAAUCCUAUGUUGUCAGAUGAUGGUUAGCAUUUUUAGCAAUAAAGUAUUUUUAAAUUAAGGUGUGUAUGUUGUUUUUUGGAUGUAAUGUUAUUGUGCACUUAUUACAGUAUAGCAUAGUGUAGACAUAACUUUUAUGUGCACUGGGAAACCAAAAAAAUUCACGUGACUUGCUUUAUUGUGAUAUUCGAUUUAUUGUGUUGGUCCUGAACCCAACCCGCAAUAUCUUCAAGGCAUGCCUAUAUAUACUCAGGACAACUGAAGGCAUACAUUUACACAAAUACUUGCACAUGAAUGAUUCAUAGUUGUACUACUCAUGAUAGCCAAAAAGUGGAAACAACCCAAAUGGCCAUCAACUGAUGAAUGAAUAAAUACAAUGCGGUAUAUCCAUACAAUGGAAUAUUAUUUGUCAAUAACAAGAAAUCAAAUACUAAUACAUGCUAUAUCAUUAUGCAAAUGAAAGAAGCCAGACACAAAAGGUAAAUAUAUGAUUCCAUUUAUAUGAAAUGUCCAAAAUAGGCAAAAUUAUAGAAAUAGAAAGUAUAUUGGUGGCUGCCUAGGACUGAGAAGGGAUUGGAGAGAAAUGGGGAGUGACGGCUAAUGGGUAAGGGGUUUCUCUUGUGGCUGAUGAAAAUGUUCUAAAUGGAAUUGUGGCAGUGGUUGCACAACUUUGUAGAUAUACCAAAACCAUUAAAUUGUUUACUUUUGUGGGUGAAUUGUACAGUAUGUGAAUUAUAUCUCAGUAAAACUAUUAGCAAAAAAAUGUUCCACAUGGUACACAUGGUAAGGCAUGGAGGCAUAGGAACAUAGUGUAUUUAAGAACCUAAGCAGGAGUUCCCUUGUGGCACGGUGGUUUAAGGAUCCAGUGUUAUCACUGCAGUGGUUCAGAUUCCUGCUGAGGUGAGGGUUUGCUCCCUGGUCCCUGAACUUCUACAUGCCACAAGCGUGGCAAAAAACAAAAAGCAAAAAACAAACAAAAAUCAAGAACCUAAAAGCAGAUUGACGUAACUAUUAUGGAAUGGGAAUGGACAUGUCUAGGAAGGCAGGUAAGGAUUAGAUCAUGGAGGAUCUGAGGGCAGCUCACAGCAAGAAGAACAUUUUAGGAAUAUUAAUUCAUAUAUGGAGGCUAGGUCUGAAGGAAAGGGAUGCAAAGAGGAUAGGUAGUUGAGACUACUGAAGUAGAUCCAAUAUUAGUUCAUGAGGGCUGAGCCAAAAUGAUGGAAAGAUCUUUCUUACACAUGUUUGUGUCCCUAACAACUUAACAUGCCUGACACAAAACAGUGCCCAAUACUGUUUAGUGAAUGAAUGAAUGAAUGAAGUGGAUGAUUACAUUUUGCAUUUUCAUAGUUUCUGUUAUUAGUUAGAAAAUUUGGGGACACAACAAGGGAUUUUGGGGAGUGAGCUCAGGACUGUAACAUUUAGAGCAAGGAUACUUUUUAUGAGGGGAAUGGCUAUUUCAGGAAGAGAGAAAAAAUGAUGGUAGGUCCAAAGGUAUACUUUAUCCCUCUGUUUUGCCUAAGGCCAGCCUACUGUGUGCCUGGGGAUUUUUUUUUUUAAUGAAGAAAUAUAAGAGGCUGGUAAACUCCUUCUGACUUUGGUGCCUUCAGGCUUUUGUACCCAUUAGCCAAGCAGACAUAAUCUACUCCCACACAUAAGACAUAACCUAGUAUACUUUACAGUAUGUAUGGACCAGAUAAAUAUUUUAUUUUAUUUUAUUGUCUUUUUUUUUUUUUUGCCUUUUCUAGGGCCGCUCCCGUGGCAUAUGGAGGUUCCCAGGCCAGGGGUCUAAUCGGAGCUGUAGACGCCGGCCUACGCCAGAGCCACAGCAACGCGGGAUCAGAGCCACAUCUGCGACCUACACCACAGCUCAUGGCAACGCCGGAUCCUUAACCCACUGAGCAAGGCCAGGGAUCGAACCCACAGCCUCAUGGUCCCUAGUUGGAUUCGUUAACCACUGAGCCACGACGGGAACUCCCAGAUAAAUAUUUUACUGAGGCUCAGUGACUAAGAUUCAACCAUCAGAAACCACUUAGAUAAUUUUGUUUUUCAAUCCAUUUCCUCCUGGUCAGCUAUGGCCACCCUACUCCACUGUGAUACAUCCUUAGAUGAUAAAACUGGAAGAUCUAACUUCUAUGUACUAUAGCUUAGAGUUAAAGGUUGUGACCUAAUUUCUAAGCAGAGCAGAAGAAUCCUCUCUGGAGAGGGAUUACACACAAGGAGAUGAAGUGUUUAUGUUUGUAAUAACGGGAUGCCGCCACAGAAGACUAUGCUCUGUGUUAAUGAUUGAAGAACAAUUUUAUUUGUAGAUUUGCAGGGUGUAGGCGUUGGGGAGGGUUGCACAUUUGCCUCAUUCUGAGCCAUCUUCAACCUAUUCUCUAUGACAAGGAGGCUUCCUCUGGACUUCCUUUCCCUGCCUCAGUAAGACGAGCUUGGGUAUGAGUAAUUGAAAACUCUGUGCUGAGGGGGAGGGAGUGGGAUGGACUAGGAAUCUGGGGUUAAUAGAUGCAAAGUAUUGCAUUUGGAGUGGAUAAGCAAUGAGAUCCUGCUGUAUAGCACUGGGAACUAUAUCUAGUCACUUGUGAUGGAACAUGAUGGAGGAUAAUGUGAGAAAAAGAAUAUAUAUACGACUGGGUCAUUUUGCUGUGAAGUAGAAAAUUGACAGGACACUGUAAACCAGCUAUAAUAGAAACAAUAAAAAUCAUUACAAAAAUAAAAAAAUCAAGCUAAAAAAAGAAAUAAAAAA